GCGACGCAGGGACGCGGCUUCCCUGGUGCUACCCCCGCCCCUCCCCGCAGAGGCCGUUUCCCUCCCGACCCCGCACUCACCCGCAUGUGUCUGGGUCGGGGCCAGGGCAGCCGCCAGCAGCAGGAGCAGCGUGUGGGGCACUGUGGCCCCCAUCUGGGAUCCGUAAUUGAGUCCUGCGGUUGCGUGGACUUUAUAACCAGUGCCCUCGGCGGCGCUGAUUGGUUGUCCGGGAUCGCCCCACCCAAUGGGGGGUGAGACCUGCCAGCACGCCAUCAGUGUCCGGGCAGAAGGACCUGACCCAGGUUAGGAGCAGAAGUGAAACUGGGGAGAUGGGGAAUCCCCAGCCCUGGGCUUCCCCACCCCUGACCUCACCACCUGGAGACUAAGACUUUGCCUGAACCCUGUGCUGUGGACAGAGCGCUGUUUGUCUUGGUGUCUCCGAGUUCUGACCCAGGAGCUGUCAGGACACCAGGAGAGACCCGCAGCCAGACUCUCUGUGUCUUCUCCUCCACUCUUCCUCUUCCUUCUUUUAUUCAGAAGUCAGACUCCGGAAUCGAAGAAAACCCACUUCCGGGAAUGCAAUGUUAACAUAAGCGGUUGGGGAUGCAGUGGAGAGAUGCUUCUCCUUAAAGAAGAGUCUCUGGGUUGCAAGCCUCACACGGACCCCACAGAGAUCAGGCUCUGUUCACAUGCAGUAGGCAGCUUACACUGCCAAGCCUGAGUGCAGGACAAUCAUCUGUAAAGAGGAGACUUUGCCUCUUCCCUCAGGAUCUGCCUUCUCUACCUAAGGUUUGACUCAGACUCCUCCUGUUUCUUUUCAGAUGGAGCAUAUCCAGCCCACCACCCACCAGAGCUGGAGGGAAACAAAGGAUAUGGGAUGACGUCACUCUGCCAUCAGCCUAAGUCCAUGGAAGUGGCAAGAAGCUGCAGCAAGCCAAAGCACACCACCAGAAGUUUUUUUUUUGGUGCAUUUCACCCUGUGGAAUCCUGACAAAUGCAGCCCAACUGUGUUAUGUAAGGAAGACCGAUACACAAAUGUUGUUCGCAAAGAAUACUUCAUCACGGGUCCUCUCACAUGAUCGAUUGAGUAGAAAAUGUCUUUACCUAGAUGUUUCAACUAAAUGCUCCUUCCUGAAUCUCUCUCAGCCUUUCACUAGAGUCUACUUCGGAGAAAUGUUCCCUCAUGUAUUUGCAGCAUAAAACACCAUCCAACUGCACUGAUUUUCUGAAGAAUCCUUAAGUUUCCUGUUCAGAAACUGAACAUUUGAUAAUGGGCCAUCAAGUUACAAUGUGACCUGAGCUGCCCAUCAUGAGUUGGAUGUCAUCUGAACCACCAAGUCAUAAACUAGGACAUG